rnacentral:rRNA from 1 species
UACGGGGGGAGCAAGCGUUGUUCGGAUUUACUGGGCGUAAAGGGCGCGUAGGCGGCGCAACAAGUCACUUGUGAAAUCUCCACGCUUAACGUGGAGGGGCCAUUCGAAACUGCCGUGACUCGAGUCCGGUAGGGGAGUUCGGAAUUCCCGGUGUAGCGGUGAAAUGCGCAGAUAUCGGGAGGAACACCAGUGGCGAAGGCGGCCUUCUGGUCCAGUACUGACACUCAAGUGCGAAAGCGUGGGGAGCAAACAGG